rnacentral:piRNA from 1 species
UCCGUGGAGAGGAACAAUUCUGA